GUGUGUGUCUGGGGUGCUGUGUGUGUCUGGGUGCUGUGUGUGUCUGGGUGCUGUGUGUGUCUGGGUGGUGUGUGUGUCUGGGGGUGCUGUGUGUGCCUGGGUGCUGUGUCUGGGUGCUGUGUGUGUCUGGGGGGUGCUGUGUCUGGGUGUUGUGUGUGUCUGGGUGCUGUGUGUGUCUGGGUGCUGUGUAUGGGUGCUGUGUGUGUCUGGGGGGUGCUGUGUCUGGGUGUUGUGUGUGUCUGGGUGCUGUGUGUGUCUGUGGGUGCUGUGUGUG
rnacentral:lncRNA from 1 species